UACGUAGGGAGCAAGCGUUGUCCGGAAUCGAUUGGCGUAAAGCGCGCGUAGGUGGCUUCAUAAGUCGUUGUGAAAGUCAAAGGCUCAACCUUUGAAAGCCGAUGGAUACUGGUGGAGCUAGAGUACGGAAGAGGCGAGUGGAAUUCCUGGUGUAGCGGUGAAAUGCGCAGAUAUCAGGAGAACACCCGUGGCUAAGGCGGCUCUCUAGUACGGUACUGACGCUGAGACGCGAAAGCGUGGGGAGCGAACAGG
rnacentral:rRNA from 1 species